UAUAGUAAGUGUAACUAGUCCUUUUCUUUAUUUGCUUGCAGUUUACUUCAGUUUCUUUCUGCUACUAUUUUAUUACAUUUUUCAUUUCAAAUCUACUAAUUUAUUUUAUUUUCUCCCUUAAUGUUGCAGUAUUGUUUUAUAGUUCUGAACUACUAAGAGAAUCUCACACAUAAUACAAUUUUUGACUGUCUACUAAAGACAAGUUCAUGUAAAAGGUGUCUGUACAUCAGAAGGGUGAGCAAAAGGAGUAGCAGAGUUUCUGACAUGUGGAUCAUAUAUUGGAUGAUCUUCCUCUGUCCUCCCCCAAAUAUUGGCAGCUGCUCUUCCCUUUUGAUUCUCUCCAGAUGUGUUCUGCGCUGUGGUGUGUUACAGGAGAUCUGUGGAGGGGUUAGGGUAGUUGAGUUUGGGUCCUUGCGUGGGAUGCAAAUUGAAGGGCAGUUGUUUCCUGUUUUCUCUCUUUUUAUUAGGCGCAGGUGUUUUGUGGUUCAGGAGGGCCUUGUUAGUUGCGCAGUUGAGCAGGAAUCGGUUCUAUUUUGGUUCAGUGAGAACCGAGUAAGAAUAUUUAGCCCGAUCCGUUUUGUUGAACAUAUAAACAUACGAUUGUCGGCCCUGUUUGGACAUACAUGUGUCAUAUGUUUAUUUGUCAGGAAAUUUGACUGAAACCCAAUUGAAGAUCAGUCAAAUGUUAAAUAGGC